rnacentral:rRNA from 1 species
GACGAACGCUGGCGGCGUGCCUAAGGCAUGCAAGUCGAACGAGAUCCAUCUGUGCUUGCACAGGGAAGAUCUAGUGGCGAACGGGUGAGGAACACGUGAGAAACCUGCCCUCGAGAGGGGAAUAACAACGGGAAACCGUUGCUAAUGCCUCAUAUUGUUAACUGAUCGCAUGGUUUGUUAAUGAAAUGAAUUUCGCUCGAGGAUGGUCUCGCUUCUUANCAGCUUGAUGGUGGGGUAACGGCCUACCAUGGCGACGACGAGUAGCUGGUCUGAGAGGACGAACAGCCACACUGGGACUGAGACACGGCCCAGACUCCUACGGGAGGCAGCAGUGGGGAAUCUUGCGCAAUGGGCGAAAGCCUGACGCAGCAACGCCGC